rnacentral:rRNA from 1 species
GACGUAGGAUGCAAGCGUUGUCCGGAAUUAUUGGGCGUAAAGAGUUCGUAGGCGGUGAUCUAAGUCUGGUGUUAAAUACUGACGCUUAACGUCGGCAUGGCAUUGGAAACUGGAUCGCUAGAGUGCGGUAGAGGUAUCGGGAAUUCCAGGUGUAGCGGUGAAAUGCGUAGAUAUCUGGAGGAACACCAGUGGCGAAAGCGCGAUACUGGGCCGUAACUGACGCUGAGGAACGAAAGCCAGGGGAGCAAAAGGG